CGGACGGGUGCGUAACGCGUGGGUAAUCUGCCUUUGUCAAAGGAAUAACUAUUCGAAAGAAUAGCUAAAACCGUAUAACAUAUUAAUAGGGCAUCCUAAUAAUAUCAAAACGAUAGUGGACAAAGAUGAGCCCGCGUCUGAUUAGCUAGUUGGUGAGAUAAAAGCCCACCAAGGCAAGGAUCAGUAGCCGACCUGAGAGGGUGAACGGCCACAUUGGAACUGAGAUACGGCCCAG
rnacentral:rRNA from 1 species